UCCCUUACGAUAUGUGCUGCUUGGCCACCGCCUUCCAUCCAUCCGAGUUGCCACCCCUUCGCCUUCUUCCCAGUCCUCCCUACCCCUCAGCAUCCCAACCGUGCUACCCACCCCUCAGUCUCCGAUGCUGCAUGAAGGAUUUCCCCCUCUUCCCGCGGGAUACGCACCAAAAUCGCUCUCAUAAUAAUGGACUGCAACGCUCGCUCUAAAUUGAUGCGCUAAUGACAUUUUAUUUAGUCUUCAAAUAUGAAUCAUGCGUCUGAUAUUCCAUCUGUGUCUGCGCGCUAGCAUAUUUAUUUCCGUGCCAUCUUCUAUUGCCUCAACCUCAACGGUUUCCAGCUUCGUACAGAAUGAGGAUCUCAGGGAUCAGCAGGUGCCUGAGACCCCGCGAGAAGCGACAGCAGCGGCACCGGGCAAUUCCACGGGUAGAAAAACCGGAGAGCACGAGGUCACGGUCACAUAUCCCUCCCGGCUCAUCUACUACUUGAAUGAGGAGUCGGAGAGCACGUAUCAUGACCUGGACACUCGGACGAGGAGCCAGGCCAGUGAUGGACAGGAUGUCCACCUGGCCCAAGCAAGUUUCCAGCUGGACGCCUUCGGCACCACAUUCACUUUGGACCUUACACUGAACAAUGAUCUGCUCUCUUCAGAUUAUGUGGAAAUCCACUAUGACAAAGACAAGCCAGUUCUCUCCAGGGGCGGGGAACACUGCUACUACCACGGCCACGUGAGAGGAAAAGAAGACUCCCGUGUAGCUUUAUCCACCUGCAACGGGCUUCAUGGGAUGUUUGAUGAUGGUAAUUUUGUCUAUCUCAUCGAGCCUUUGAAACAGACUCACACCGAAACGGAAGCACGACCCCAUACUUUGCGCCGAACAUCAUCGCUCCAUGUGACCUCUGUCCCAGGUGCCUGGGCUGCUGAUGACCCAAUUGAGGAAAAAGAAGAGGAGAAGCGUAUUUUUGCUAGCAUGCCUUGGCUAAAGCGAAGGAGGAAAAGAGCUAUGCCACGUAACAUUUUUGAAGAAAUGAAGUAUCUGGAAAUAAUGAUUGUCGCUGACCACAACACGUUUAAAAGGCAUAAGAGUAAAAAGCAUACCCGGAACUCGGCCAAAUCAGUGGUCAACUUUGUAGACGCUAUUUUUAAGGAGCAGCUGAAUACGCGUGUGGUAUUGGUUGCUGUGGAGAUUUGGACUGACAGGGACUGGAUUCCGCUGAGCGUGAAACCAUUGGAAAUGCUAAGCGACUUUUCAAAGUACAGACAACAGAACAUCAACAUCAACGCUGAUGCCGUGCACCUCUUCACUAAUGUGACGUUUCAUUACGGUCGGAGCGGUGUUGCAUAUAUUGGUGGUGUGUGUUCCAAAGGAAGAGGAAUUGGUGUUAAUGAGUUUGGCAGCACAUGGACAAUGGCUGCCUCUCUCUCUCAGAGCUUAGCACAGAAUCUGGGUAUCCAGUGGGAUCCUGUGAUCAGGAGGAAGGAGUGCGGCUGCAUGGAUUCAUGGGUGGGAUGUAUAAUGGAAGACACUGGAGUGCAACACCCACGCAGGUUUUCCAAAUGCAGCAUUACUGACUACAGGAACUUUCUUCUAAGAGGAGGUGCUUCAUGUCUGUUUAACAAACCCAGCAAGCUCUUUGAGGCUACAGAAUGUGGAAAUGGUUAUGUGGAAGUGGGAGAGGAGUGUGACUGUGGGGCUCGAAUGGAGUGCUAUAAAGACUGCUGUAAAAAAUGUUCUUUGUCUAAUGGAGCACACUGCAGUGACGGCCCCUGCUGCAACAGCACAUGCCUGUUCUACCCACGGGGAUACAGCUGUCGAUAUGCUGUAAAUGAUUGUGACAUAUCAGAGACUUGUUCAGGAGACUCGGGACAGUGCCCCCCUAAUCUUCAUAAGCAAGAUGGCUACUCUUGUCAGCUCAACCAGGGUCGCUGUUACAGUGGUGAAUGUAAGACCCGGGAGAGUCAGUGCAAAUACAUCUGGGGUCCAAAGGCUGGAGGGUCAGAGAAGCACUGCUAUGAGAAGUUAAAUACAGAGGGGACAGAAAAAGGGAAUUGUGGGAGAGAUGGAGACAAAUGGGUGCCCUGCGGCAAACACGAUGUCUUUUGUGGGUACCUGCUGUGCACUAACACUGGGAGAAAUCCAAGGAUCGGGACCCUGAAAGGUGACGUCACUCCCACCACCUUUAACCAUCAGGGGCGACUGGUGGACUGCAGCGGGGGACACGUGCUGUUGGAUGAUGACACUGAUCUAGGGUAUGUGGAAGAUGGUACGCCGUGUGGUCCCUCUAUGAUGUGCCUUGAGCGGAAAUGUCUACCCAUCUCCUCCCUGAACCUCACAGCCUGUCCGUCUGGCCCGGGUGGCCGAGUCUGCUCUUCUCACGGCGUGUGCAAUAAUGAAGCAACCUGCACCUGUGAUGCUACAUGGGCAGGGACUGAUUGCAGCAUGCAUGACCCCCCAAAAGAGCCACCCGUCACCGAGGACCCGGGUCCCAAGGGUCCUAGUGCCACCAACCUUAUCAUAGGCUCCAUCGCAGGGGCCAUCCUGAUGGCAGCCAUAGUGCUGGGGGGGACGGGAUGGGGAUUUAAGUAAGAGCUGCACCGCAUGCUUCCUAUUGCCUGCCAGCCUGGAACAGGCUCACUCACACUUAAACAUACACACUCACACACACACACUUUUGCAUACAUGCACACAACAUUUUACCACUACACACUCACAUUCACACAUGCACAAGGGCCUGGGCUUCUGCUACAGACAACAGAUACUAAAACUAGGUCAUCAUUUAAAGUGCCAAAUUCUGAACUACAUGCUACGAUAGAAUGCUAAGGGACGAUAAGUGUAAUUUGUCAUUUUUCUGUAACAAUAUAUGUAAUUGUAAGUUGUUUAAAUGUAACAUUUUCUUAAGUAUGCUAAUGCGUUCUUUACAGGUGACAGCAGAUUGUAGUUUAGCUCAUGGUAGCUAGAUCAUAGCUAUUGGAAACCAAUCAAGAAAAAUUACCCACUAAAAUGAUCUGGCUACAUCUUUCAACCACCAAAUUACAGUUUAAGUCUAGGUCUAGACAUUUAACCCAGUUGGUUUAGAGCUCUGUAGACUGUAGCAGAACCUCGUGCAGACUGGCCCAUCGCUUGACAUGCAUGCGAGCAAAAUGGUAAAAUGGAUACUGAGCAAGAUGUGUAAUGACAGUAAUGAAUUAAUGACAAUAUCAAAGAGAAGAUUGAUGUGUAGCCUUUUUUAUGAUUAACUACAUGCUAAUACUUAAAAACGUAUACAUUUCAGUAAUACCAUGACCAGUUUAUGUAGUAAGGUGGGAACUGUUGGAGAAAGUAACAUUGUAUGCUUACUUAAAGCUACACUAUCAAGUGCAGUAUAUUUAUUGUAAAGCGGUCCGGACACAUUUCACAGGAAACUGCAUAGUUCUGUCAUUCGUCUUGUCAUUCGCAAACCUUGUACCGAAAAGAGUUUGUAAGCAAAAUAUUAAAGUAACAGUGUCCGUACUAAAAAACAGAUCAACACUAGCUUGGCUUUUCAAAAAUAGGUUUAGUUUGCGCAUUUGCUGUGCAUGGACUAGGUUCACAAAACAAUAUUUAUGUUGGUAACAAUGCCAAUCUCUAAACCACUUACUACUUAGCCUACUAGCCAGGUGUCCACUGUUUUACCUUAACUGAUAUGAAUACCAAUCAUUAUGUCUAAUGUCAGCAUUACCAGUCUUUUGAAAUGUUAUUUUAAAACAACUGUUUGCAAAUAAGCUCAUAAGAACCAAAGCACAAUUUGCAUAAUCACCAAAGCAAUGUUUCUCCGCAAGUAACAUUUUAUGCUUCAACCGCUAAAGGGCCAAAAGUUACAUAAUGUAGCUUUAAAGAUUCCAGUAAAUGUGUGUAACAUCAAACAUGUUGACAGAUGUAUUUGGUUAAAAAUCUGAAUGUAGUUUAGAAACUGUUUGUCUGAGGACAUGUAAAACCUUUCUAAUGGCCAGCAUAGGCCCAGUCAGGAGCAAGUUCUUGGAAGCUAGCUAUGAGAUCUGGAGGUCAUCCAAGAGGACUUAGCUCACCGCAGCAUGCUUGUUUGCACAUAGCAUCUUGACUGAGCCCAUUUAGAGUUUGCAUGCGGACUGGCACCAAGCCAGAGCUAAAGCGGAGUGCUAUCAGAGCAUCGCACAAAGGCUGGGCUCACCUCAAGUGAAGGGAGUGGAGGGGUGUUUGUUGUUUUCCUUGCUUUGAGAAGCGGGGUGGGUUGUUGGGGCGGGACGGGGUAGGCAGGGAUGACGACUUUCUGACCCGCUCUCCUCGCCGUGAUCUCUCUCUCAAUCCCCCCUCCGUUGUCUGAAAGGGUGAGAGUUUGAGCGGAGAGGGGUGGAGUUUGUGUCGUAGGCAGCCUUUGUGCCAUGGCUGGCUGCCACACCCUCUUAUCUCCCGGAAGGCCCUGGGCCCCCCUGAAAACCUAGAACAGAGCAAGAGCCCUCACCCCCCACCCGGACUCGCCCGGCACCGCUGCCUUUACUGCCUGCUUCACAGAGACCUGAAAUGUCAAGAAAAGACGAUAUGACCCUAACGCCAGUGCCAUCUAAAGGCUAAGAGAACUGCAUCCUUGCCUAGUGUGCCCCCGGGUUCCGUCAGAACCCGCUGGACUGUACCCUCUCCUGCUGCUGACGCUGCUGCCGACGGCGUUGGCGUUACUUGAAUAAAAAAGGACAGAAAGCGAGAGAAGAAAGAGACCGAACGAUCGAACAUUUUUCAUCCAAAGUCACAUAGAACUGCUUCUCUACCGCUGUUCCUUUGCCCUCUGGCCCUGAGCAUCCACACUGAACCACUCAUCGGGGCAUGACUUCCUGUUCACACGCCCCAACCUCCAGUUCUGACCCAGGCAUGACCAGCUUCAGCUGUGGACCUCGCAUGGCAGAGGAGGGACACCAAUGACUAUUGUUCAUUUAAAAAAGAAGAAUGAUUUGAAGUUCCAGUAGGCUGGUAACAUAUCCAUGUGUUUUUCAAGGGGCUAAAUGACCACACCCUAUGAGAGUGACCCAUAUUGGACAAACAUUUCAAGGCUUAACUUUAAAGUUUUUUGUUAUUUCAGCAUGUUAUAUUGCAGGCAUUUUCUGUAGUAUUAAUGAAACAAAGAAACCCAAACAAAAAGUUAAAAAAAAAUCAAUCCAUUUGGCCGGCAGCGUAUACUGCUGCAUGAUGAAAUCACCACUGAUAUUUAUGCCUGAUGACGUCACUUACUGUUCCACUUGAGAAAAAAAAAAAAACGAAAAAAAAAAUUAAUAAUUUUAAACUGGCUGGGCCCUGUAGGUCUGCCCUGACCUGAAUGCCAUCACUGGCCAAUCAGAGAGCUGCAUGAUGUAACUGCACUGGGGGCGGAGCCCACACAGCCUGCUGCGCUUUUCAAGGUAUCUGCAUGUCAAAG